CGUAGGGUGCAAGCGUUAUCCGGAAUUAUUGGGCGUAAAGAGCUCGUAGGCGGUUUGUCGCGUCUGCUGUGAAAACUGGAGGCUCAACCUCCAGCCUGCAGUGGGUACGGGCAGACUAGAGUGCGGUAGGGGAGAUUGGAAUUCCUGGUGUAGCGGUGGAAUGCGCAGAUAUCAGGAGGAACACCAAUGGCGAAGGCAGAUCUCUGGGCCGUAACUGACGCUGAGGAGCGAAAGCAUGGGGAGCGAACAGGA
rnacentral:rRNA from 1 species